UCUCCCUCUUGACCGACUGCCACUUCUCUCUAUUUCUCUAUUUUCCUAUCUCACUCAGCCACCAAAGCCCACACACAUAAACACUCUAGCUCCCUCUAUUUCUCUCACUCCCUCACCGGUAAACCAGCCAUCCACCACCACUUUUGGCAGAUUUCACCGGAGAACCCCAUUAGAAACCCCAUACGCUCCAUUCUCUCAAAGCUUUAAAGGUUCUGAUAUUCUUGGUGAUGGACCUAGUGACUGGAUUAGUUGAUUUUGUGGUGCCCAGUUGAGGUAAAAUUGGUUGGCCUUCCAAGUCUUUGUGACAGUGGAAUCAAAUCUAGGCCAGUGCCCUUUCACUUUGGAUGAUGCAUUCUUCCCUGCUGCCCAUGGGAGGAAGAGGUUUCUUGAUUGUGUGUGGGUAAGGCUGCUGCCCAUGGGCCAAGAGACCACAUGCAAGAAAGAUCCUAUUUGACGCGUUCUCUCUGCUGCCCAUGGGGGGAGAGAAAAACCUUGAGGGUAUGGGUGAGGCUGCUGUCCAUGGGGCCAAGAGCCUGCAUACUAGAGAGGACAGUAUCAUGCCAGUUGUGAAUGGGUGGAUCUCCUGACCGGUCUAUGUGGUAGUAUGGUAGAUUUGUGAUGAAAUUACCGUAUGUUAGAUUUUAUGGUUUUGGAAAUUAUAUUGUUAGUGCUCCCAGAUUAUAAUAUAUAGUUUCAUGGUAUUAUUUUGAGAAACUUUAUGUUUCAUCAUUUAAUCAUUCUUGUUACAUUAUUACAAAAAAUGAUCUUGCAGUAUUCAGUUAGCAAUUUCCCAAACUAAAACAUGUUUUGCAAAUUGUUUAUAAUCAUGAGACUUGCAUUCCCCCACCCCCCCAUUAAUUAUGCUACUUAUUGGGUUUUAGCUCAUUCUACUC